rnacentral:rRNA from 1 species
AUUGAACGCUGGCGGCAUGCUUUACACAUGCAAGUCGAACGGCAGCGCGGGCUUCGGCCUGGCGGCGAGUGGCGAACGGGUGAGUAAUGCAUCGGAACGUGCCCAGUAGUGGGGGAUAGCCCGGCGAAAGCCGGAUUAAUACCGCAUACGACCUGAGGGUGAAAGCGGGGGACCGAAAGGCCUCGCGCUAUUGGAGCGGCCGAUGUCGGAUUAGCUAGUUGGUGGGGUAAAGGCUUACCAAGGCGACGAUCCGUAGCUGGUCUGAGAGGACGACCAGCCACACUGGGACUGAGACACGGCCCAGACUCCUACGAGAGGCAGCAGUGGGGAAUUUUGGACAAAGGGGGCAACCCUGAUCCAGCCAUGCCGCGUGCGGGAAGAAGGCCUUCGGGUUGUAAACCGCUUUUGUUCGGGAAGAAAUCCUCUGGGCUAAUACCCCGGGGGGAUGACGGUACCGGAAGAAUAAGCACCGGCUAACUACGUG